AUAGCGUAUAUUAAAGUUGUUGCGGUUAAAAAGCUCGUAGUUGAAUCUGUGUGCCACGGUGUCGGUUCACUGCUCGCGCGGUGUUUACUUGGCACUCGUGGUACGUCCUACCGGUGGGCUUUGCUCCUUCCGGGGCGGCCCAGCUAAUAUCCCAUCGCGGUGCUCUUUAUCGAGUGUCGAGGUGGGCCGGUACGUUUACUUUGAACAAAUUAGAGUGCUUAAAGCAGGCUAUUUUCGCCUGAAUACUGUGUGCAUGGAAUAAUGGAAUAGGACCUCGGUUCUAUUUUGUUGGUUUUCGGAACCCCGAGGUAAUGAUUAAUAGGGACAGAUGGGGGCAUUCGUAUUGCGACGUUAGAGGUGAAAUUCUUGGAUCGUCGCAAGACGGACAGAAGCGAAAGCAUUUGCCAAAAAUGUUUUCAUUAAUCAAGAACGAAAGUUAGAGGUUCGAAGGCGAUCAGAUACCGCCCUAGUUCUAACCAUAAACGAUGCCAGCUAGCGAUCCGCCGAAGUUCCUCCGAUGACUCGGCGGGCAGCUUCCGGGAAACCAAAGCUUUUGGGUUCCGGGGGAAGUAUGGUUGCAAAGCUGAAACUUAAAGGAAUUGACGGAAGGGCACCACCAGGAGUGGAGCCUGCGGCUUAAUUUGACUCAACACGGGAAACCUCACCAGGCCCGGACACCGGAAGGAUUGACAGAUUGACAGCUCUUUCUUGAUUCGGUGGGUGGUGGUGCAUGGCCGUUCUUAGUUGGUGGAGCGAUUUGUCUGGUUAAUUCCGAUAACGAACGAGACUCUAGCCUGCUAAAUAGGCGUACUUUCUGGUAUCUCGAAGGCCCUCGGCUUUUAGUCGGGUGGUUUUUACUACCAACGUACACACAAAUCUUCUUAGAGGGAC
rnacentral:rRNA from 1 species